rnacentral:misc_RNA from 1 species
AUAAAAAGCCUUUGGCUUACUUUGAUGGUUUUAAACCCCCACCAGCAAUUAAAUUUAGGUUUUUUGCUGGUGGAUUUUUAUUACAAACUCUUUUGUACUAAGCUGUGUCUGUCUGAAUAUAAUAUUUUAAUGCUUUUA